CCUACGGGUGGCAGCAGUGAGGAAUAUUGGUCAAUGGGCGGAAGCCUGAACCAGCCAAGUCGCGUGAGGGAAUAAGGCCCUACGGGUCGUAAACCUCUUUUGCCGGGGAGCAAGGGCGGGGACGUGUCCCGGCCCGGAGCGUACCCGGCGAAACAGCAUCGGCUAACUCCGUGCCAGCAGCCGGGGUAAUACGGGGGAUGCGAGCGGUAUCCGGCUGUAUUUGGUUUAAAGGGUGCGUAGGCGGGCUUUUCAGUCAGCGGUAAAAAUUCGGGGCUCAACCCCGUCCGGCCGUUGAAACUGGGGGCCUUGAGUGGGCGAGAAGAAGGCGGAAUGCGGGGUGUAGCGGUGAAAUGCAUAGAUAUCACGCAGAACCCCGAUGGCGAAGGCAGCCUUCCGGCGCCCUACUGACGCUGAGGCACGAAAGUGCGGGGAUCGAACAGGAUUAGAUACCCCUGUAGUC
rnacentral:rRNA from 1 species